CACCGACACACUGGCAGCACAAUGAUGAUGUCUCUGACUCUACUGCUGGCCACCCUGGGGCUCCUUGUUCAGGAUUCAUCAGGAGAAAUCAUCCUGACUCAGUCUCCUGGAUCUCAGUCUGUUGUUCCAGGACAAACUGUCUCUAUCAAAUGUAAAACCAGUUCAGAUGUUAGCAGCUUCCUCAGCUGGUACCUUCAGAAACCUGGAGACGCUCCUAAACUCCUGAUUUAUGGGGCUACAACCCUUGAGUCUGGAGUUUCAGAUCGUUUUAGUGGAAGUGGAUCUGGGUCUGACUACACUCUGACCAUCAGUAGAGUUCAGGCUGAAGAUUCAGGAGUUUACUACUGUCAGCAGAGUAUCAGCAGCCCGCUCACACAGUGAUACAACGUCGUACAAAAACCUCCCUCAGCUGCAGAGGAACUGAUCUGAAUCAACAGCUGCACUGAAACCAAAACACUAAAGAUCAGAAAAGAAGAAUAGGGUUCUCAACCUGAUUAAUUUGAAAUAUUUUAGUCAUGAAAAUUAUGUAUUUAAUGUACAGGUUAAGCUGUUAAUGAUUUUAUUGACAUAGGAUUCGAAACAAUGAGCUGAAAAUCAAAAGGUGAACUUUGUUUAUCCAUGAGUUUAAAUCCAUUGAUGAAUUUAUUACAGAGUAUGAUAACACCUUAAGACUAAAGAUGUAAAUAUUAUACAUUCUCCUACCAUUUGCAGU